AUAGCGUAUAUUAAAGUUGUUGUGGUUAAAAAGCUCGUAGUUGAACCUUGGGCCUGGCUGGCCGGUCCCCCUCACCGGGUGCACUGAUCCAGCCGGGUCUUUCCCGCUGUGGAACCCCAUGGCCUUCACUGGUCGCGGCGGGGAAACAGGACUUUUAUUUUUAAAAAAUUAGAGUGCUCCAGGCAGGCCUAUGCUCGAAUACAUUAGCAUGGAAUAAUAAAAUAGGACGCGUGGUUCUAUUUUGUUGGUUUCUAGGACCGCCGUAAUGAUUAAUAGGGACAGUCGGGGGCAUCAGUAUUCAAUUGUCAGAGGUGAAAUUCUUGGAUCUAUUGAAGACUAACUACUG
rnacentral:rRNA from 1 species